GUGCAUUACACAUGCGAGUCGAACGAUGAACCAGCUUCGGUGAGGGAUUAGUGGCGAACGGGUGAGUAACACGUGGGCAAUCUGCCCUGCACUCUGGGACAAGCCCUGGAAACGGGGUCUAAUACCGGAUACUGAUCCUCGCAGGCAUCUGCGAGGUUCGAAAGCUCCGGCGGUGCAGGAUGAGCCCGCGGCCUAUCAGCUAGUUGGUGAGGUAACGGCUCACCAAGGCGACGACGGGUAGCCGGCCUGAGAGGGCGACCGGCCACACUGGGACUGAGACUCGGCCCAGACUCCUACGGGAGGCAGCAGUGGAUAUUGCACAUGGGCGAAGCUUGAUGCAGCGACGGCGCGUGAGGGAUGACGGCCUUCGGGUUGUAAACUCUUUCAGCAGGGAAGAAGCGAAAGUGACGGUACCUGCAGAAGAAGCGCCGGCUAACUACGUGCCAGCAGCCGCGGUAAUACGUAGGGCGCAAGCGUUGUCCGGAAUUAUUGGGCGUAAAGAGCUCGUAGGCGGCUUGUCACGUCGGUUGUGAAAGCCCGGGGCUUAACCCCGGGUCUGCAGUCGAUACGGGCAGGCUAGAGUUCGGUAGGGGAGAUCGGAAUUCCUGGUGUAGCGGUGAAAUGCGCAGAUAUCAGGAGGAACACCGGUGGCGAAGGCGGAUCUCUGGGCCGAUACUGACGCUGAGGAGCGAAAGCGUGGGGAGCGAACAGGAUUAGAUACCCUGGUAGUCCACGCCGUAAACGGUGGGCACUAGGUGUGGGCAACAUUCCACGUUGUCCGUGCCGCAGCUAACGCAUUAAGUGCCCCGCCUGGGGAGUACGGCCGCAAGGCUAAAACUCAAAGGAAUUGACGGGGGCCCGCACAAGCGGCGGAGCAUGUGGCUUAAUUCGACGCAACGCGAAGAACCUUACCAAGGCUUGACAUACACCGGAAAACCCUGGAGACAGGGUCCCCCUUGUGGUCGGUGUACAGGUGGUGCAUGGCUGUCGUCAGCUCGUGUCGUGAGAUGUUGGGUUAAGUCCCGCAACGAGCGCACCCUUGUCCGUGUUGCCAGCCGGUCCUUGUGGUGCUUGGGACUCACGGGAGACCGGCGGGGUCAACUCGGAGAGUGGGGACGACGUUUCGUCAUGGUGCCCCUUAUGUCUUGGGCUGCACACGUGCUACAAUGGCCGGUACAAUGAGCUGCGAUACCGCGAGGUGGAGCGAAUCUCAAAAAGCCGGUCUCAGUUCGGAUUGGGGUCUGCAACUCGACCCCAUGAAGUCGGAGUCGCUAGUAAUCGCAGAUCAGCAUUGCUGCGGUGAAUACGUUCCCGGGCCUUGUACACACCGCCCGUCACGUCACGAAAGUCGGUAACACCCGAAGCCGGUGGCCCAACCCCUUGUGGGAGGGAGCUGUCGAAGGUGGACUUCACG
rnacentral:rRNA from 1 species